GGGAAGAGUGUCUGCCAUCCCACCACUCACAUGUAGUAGAGCGAAGGUAAGGGAGGGUACUGGUAUAGGGUUAUCGCUGGAUUCCGCAGCGUCGCUGUACCAGUGAUGAUAAAAGAAGAUUCAUGUGAGGGCAUCUGUAACGGAUCCCCUAUAUUCCGGCUGAGUAUACCCGUGAAAAAUCUCCCAAGUCCCAAACGCGGUAGUGAUUAUAAGUGUGAAUAUAGCUCACAAUCCCCCAAACAUGAGCUUAGACUUCAUGAAGGGCUAAAAUGGUCUGUUUAAUCCAGGCUCAAUGCUCUGCUUUUAAACAUUACAGGGACACAAUAAACACACCCAUGACACUCCCACAACACACCCAUAAACACGCCUACACAAUG